rnacentral:tRNA from 2 species
GGGCCGUUAACUCAGUUGGUAGAGUGCGAUUUUCACAGAGUCGAAGUCGCAGGUUCGAAUCCUGCACGGCCCACCA